GGGCCCGCACAAGCGGUGGAGCAUGUGGUUUAAUUCGAUGCAACGCGAAGAACCUUACCAAGACUAGAAACUUAUAUGAAAGAUUAUAGAAAUAUAAUCCUCCUUCGGGCAUAUAAGCAGGUGAUGCAUGGUCGUCGUCAGCUCGUGGUUUGAACUGUUCCGUUAAGUCGGAUAACGAGCGCAACCCUCAUCGUAUGUUACAAGUGUCAUGCGAGACUGCCCCGCUUCAGGGCACAAACUUUUGUUUGUGAAUUGAAGCGGGGGAGGAAGGUGAGGAUGACGCCAGAUCAGCAUGUCCCUUGAUGUCUUGGGCUGCACACGUGAUACAAUGCCCGUUACAGAGAGACGCAAUGCCGUAAGGUGGAGCAA
rnacentral:rRNA from 1 species